rnacentral:tRNA from 1 species
GCCCUGUUCGUCUAGGGGCCUAGGACGCCGCCCUCUCACGGCGGUAACACGGGUUCAAAUCCCGUACAGGGUACAA